rnacentral:rRNA from 1 species
CCUACGGGAGGCAGCAGUGAGGAAUAUUGGUCAAUGGCCGAAAGGCUGAACCAGCCAAGUCGCGUGAAGGAUGAAGGAUCUAUGGUUUGUAAACUUCUUUUAUAGGGGAAUAAAGGUUUCCACGUGUGGAGAUUUUCAUGUACCCUAUGAAUAAGCAUCGGGUAACUCCGUGCCAGCAGCCGCGGUAAUACGUAGGAUGCGAGCGUUAUCCGGAUUUAGUGGGUUUAAAGGGUGCGUAGGUUGUUUUUUAAGUCAGCGGUGAAAGUUUGUGGCUCAACCAUAAAAUUGCCGUUGAAACUGGAAGACUUGAGUGUGUUUGAGGUAGGCGGAAUGCGUGGUGUAGCGGUGAAAUGCAUAGAUAUCACGCAGAACUCCGAUUGCGAAGGCAGCUUACUGGGCCAUAACUGACACUGAAGCACGAAAGCGUGGGGAUCAAACAGGAUUAGAUACCCGAGUAGUC